rnacentral:lncRNA from 11 species
UCUGAAUAAUCCUAGUAGAAUGGCUACAGUUAAGUCAUAGACCUCAUCUGCAAUGACCACUUAGAAGGUACAGAUGAGAACCAACUGCGUGGCAGCCAAACACCACAUGGGGCUGAUUCACGAUGUACUUGUGAAUGUGGAGGGACAAAGAGAAGCAGAUCUCAAAGUGCGGGAAGGGAAAACACAGUCCAUCAAAAAAGAGCUAUUAGAAUGCAGACAUUCAUCUGAACUGCUAUCUUUUAUUUUAUUUUAUUUUUUAAAAAUGAUAUUUGCUGAGGAGUUCAGCGGCGACAACUCCUCCUCAGUGAUUUAUAUCUAAACUCUUUAAAAUGCAAAUGGCAUCUUGAUAUUCCCCAAUAUCCAACCAAGCUUAUGCAGGG